rnacentral:rRNA from 1 species
GAUGAACGCUGGCGGCGUGCCUAAUACAUGCAAGUCGAGCGAAUGGAUUAAGAGCUUGCUCUUAUGAAGUUAGCGGCGGACGGGUGAGUAACACGUGGGUAACCUGCCCAUAAGACUGGGAUAACUCCGGGAAACCGGGGCUAAUACCGGAUAACAUUUUGAACCGCAUGGUUCGAAAUUGAAAGGCGGCUUCGGCUGUCACUUAUGGAUGGACCCGCGUCGCAUUAGCUAGUUGGUGAAGUAACGGCUCACCAAGGCAACGAUGCGUAGCCGACCUGAGAGGGUGAUCGGCCACACUGAGACUGAGACAAGGCCCAGACUCCUACGGGAGGCAGCAGGAGGGAAUCUUCCGCAAUGGACGAAAGUCUGACGGAGCAACGCCGCGUGAGUGAUGAAGGCUUUCGGGUCGUAAAACUCUGUUGUUAGGGAAGAACAAGUGCUAGUUGAAUAAGCUGGCACCUUGACGGUACCUAACCAGAAAGCCACGGCUAACUACGUGCCAGCCGCCGCGGUAA